rnacentral:rRNA from 1 species
GGUCUUCGGAUGCUGACGAGUGGCGAACGGGUGAGUAAUACAUCGGAACGUGCCCGAGAGUGGGGGAUAACGAAGCGAAAGCUUUGCUAAUACCGCAUACGAUCUCAGGAUGAAAGCAGGGGACCGCAAGGCCUUGCGCUCACGGAGCGGCCGAUGGCAGAUUAGGUAGUUGGUGGGAUAAAAGCUUACCAAGCCGACGAUCUGUAGCUGGUCUGAGAGGACGACCAGCCACACUGGGACUGAGACACGGCCCAGACUCCUACGGGAGGCAGCAGUGGGGAAUUUUGGACAAUGGGCGCAAGCCUGAUCCAGCCAUGCCGCGUGCAGGAUGAAGGCCUUCGGGUUGUAAACUGCUUUUGUACGGAACGAAAAGACUCUGGUUAAUACCUGGGGUCCAUGACGGUACCGUAAGAAUAAGCACCGGCUAACUACGUGCCAGCAGCCGCGGUAAUACGUAGGGUGCGAGCGUUAAUCGGAAUUACUGGGCGUAAAGCGUGCGCAGGCGGUUAUGUAAGACAGAUGUGAAUCCCCGGGCUCAACCUGGGAACUGCAUUUGUGACUGCAUAGCUAGAGUACGGCAGAGGGGGAUGGAAUUCCGCGUGUAGCAGUGAAAUGCGUAGAUAUGCGGAGGAACACCGAUGGCGAAGGCAA